rnacentral:rRNA from 1 species
CAGGCCUAACACAUGCAAGUUCGAACGGGAAAGUGGAGCAAUCCAUGAGUACAGUGGCGACCGGGUGAGUAACACGUGACUAACCUACCUUCGAGUGGGGAAUAACCUAGGGAAACCUGGGCUAAUACCGCAUAAUGUCUUCGGACCAAAGGAGCAAUUCGCUGGGAGAGGGGGUCGCGGCUGAUUAGCUAGUUGGCGGGGUAACGGCCCACCAAGGCGAAGAUCGGUAUCCGGCCUGAGAGGGCGCACGGACACACUGGAACUGAAACACGGUCCAGACUCCUACGGGAGGCAGCAGUGGGGAAUUUUGCGCAAUGGGGGAAACCCUGACGCAGCAACGCCGCGUGGAGGAUGAAGCCCUUUGGGGCGUAAACUCCUUUCGACCAAGACGAUAAUGACGGUACUGGUGGAAGAAGCACCGGCUAACUCUGUGCCAGCAGCCGCGGUAAUACA